AUUGAACGCUGGCGGCAUGCUUUACACAUGCAAGUCGAACGGUAACAGGCCGCAAGGUGCUGACGAGUGGCGAACGGGUGAGUAAUGCAUCGGAACGUGCCCAGUCGUGGGGGAUAACGCAGCGAAAGCUGCGCUAAUACCGCAUACGAUCUAUGGAUGAAAGCGGGGGACCGUAAGGCCUCGCGCGAUUGGAGCGGCCGAUGUCAGAUUAGGUAGUUGGUGGGGUAAAGGCUCACCAAGCCAACGAUCUGUAGCUGGUCUGAGAGGACGACCAGCCACACUGGGACUGAGACACGGCCCAGACUCCUACGGGAGGCAGCAGUGGGGAAUUUUGGACAAUGGGCGCAAGCCUGAUCCAGCAAUGCCGCGUGCAGGAAGAAGGCCUUCGGGUUGUAAACUGCUUCUGUACGGAACGAAACGGUCUGGGUUAAUACCUCGGGCUAAUGACGGUACCGUAAGAAUAAGCACCGGCUAACUACGUGCCAGCCGCCGCUGUAAAAC
rnacentral:rRNA from 1 species